GACGAACGCUGGCGGCGUGCUUAACACAUGCAAGUCGAACGGUGAUGCUCCAGCUUGCUGGAGUGGAUCAGUGGCGAACGGGUGAGUAACACGUGAGCAACCUGCCCCAGACUCUGGAAUAAGCGCUGGAAACGGCGUCUAAUACUGGAUACGAAACUGGCCCGCAUGGGCAUGGUUUGGAAAGUUUUUCGGUUUGGGAUGGGCUCGCGGCCUAUCAGCUUGUUGGUGAGGUAAUGGCUCACCAAGGCGACGACGGGUAGCCGGCCUGAGAGGGCGACCGGCCACACUGGGACUGAGACACGGCCCAGACUCCUACGGGAGGCAGCAGUGGGGAAUAUUGCACAAUGGGCGAAAGCCUGAUGCAGCGACGCCGCGUGAGGGAUGACGGCCUUCGGGUUGUAAACCUCUUUCAGCAGGGAAGAAGCGAAAGUGACGGUAACUGCAGAAGAAGCACCGGCUAACUACGUG
rnacentral:rRNA from 1 species